rnacentral:rRNA from 1 species
GACGAACGCUGGCGGCGUGCUUAACACAUGCAAGUCGAACGGAAAGGCCCUGCUUUUGUGGGGUGCUCGAGUGGCGAACGGGUGAGUAACACGUGAGUAACCUGCCCUUGACUUUGGGAUAACUUCAGGAAACUGGGGCUAAUACCGGAUAGGAGCUCCUGCUGCAUGGUGGGAGUUGGAAAGUUUCGGCGGUUGGGGAUGGACUCGCGGCUUAUCAGCUUGUUGGUGGGGUAGUGGCUUACCAAGGCUUUGACGGGUAGCCGGCCUGAGGGGGUGACCGGCCACAUUGGGACUGAGAUACGGCCCAGACUCCUACGGGAGGCAGCAGUGGGGAGUAUUGCACAAUGGGCGGAAGCCUGAUGCAGCAACGCCGCGUGCGGGAUGACGGCCUUCGGGUUGUAAACCGCUUUCGCCUGUGACGAAGCGUGAGUGACGGUAAUGGGUAAAGAAGCACCGGCUAACUACGUG